rnacentral:tRNA from 1 species
GCGGGAGUGCCCGAGGGGACAAAGGGGGCGGGCAUUUUUGGCCCAGGCUUAAGAUCCGCUGCGGAUAGCUACGUGGGUUCGAACCCCACCUCCCGCA